CAAAAGUAAAGAAAUAGGUGAUGAAAACGUUAUUAGGUUUCAAAAAAAUUUCAACAAAAUAAAAAAUUUCUAUUAUCCCCUUGGGGUGUUCUGUAUUCAUGGAUCCUUAGAAGAUCCAUGGAUUCUGACAUGAGUAUAUAAGAACUUCUCAGGUGCAAGAAGACUUUGGACUCAGACGUACAAGGGAUCCAGCUGCAACAAAGACAUGGACAUGUUGAGAUGCAGAAGAGGGUAAGGAAACUAAAACCUUAGACAAUUUAUUUGUUUGAUAUAACGUUUUUUUCUAUUUUCAUUUUAGUCUAGAAGUCAGGACUGGAGAGCGAAUGAAUCAAGAAAAAGAUUUGAAGAUAGAUGUCAAAGAGGCCAUGAAAAGGAGUUGGUAUUAUACAAACAUGCAAUGGUUUUUUGAAUGAACUGCGUCUCAGCUGAAUAGAUUUUCAGAAACCGAGAGUAGAGAACACCGAGAGGCAAAGUAGAAAAGCUCAAGAGAAUUUGAAACAACAGAGGUUUCAAUUUCAAUCUACUUAUUCUCAUGACAAGCCAGAGGAUCACAACGUAGAUGCUCAACAUGAUCUGUAUGAUCAAAGAAAGAGAAACAUUGAAAGGAAGAGAAGAGUUGCUCGCUUAAAUUUUUUAUCUUUCUUUCAAAGAUCAGUUACAUGAAAAAGAUUCUCAUGUGUGUUAUUAUUAUAUUUGUUGUUCUCUAUAGACGCGACCCACAGUUGUGCUUGACGAAUGGAGUCGAACCAGAAA